rnacentral:lncRNA from 1 species
AUCAGAGUAGGCGUCUGAUAGCAUUUUAUUUAGAAUCCAAUUAUGAACAGACGUAAUAUUGUGUUGAGAGAUAAACAAGAUUUGUGGCAACGUCAACAAUGAGUAGCCCAUAUUACGAUUAUUCGCUAGUACGAAAAAAGAACUCAAAAAGAAUAAAAUGGACGAAAAAUAUGAAUCUAAACGUCCUACGCUGCUACUUCAAAUCUCUUAUAAACAACUCCAAUUCAUACAGGCGAUCAAUGCAUCGACAUUGGAAAGAAAUGUAUCCAAAAUCACCAGUUUCCCCAGCCAGAUUAGUUGGUCAAAAAAGAAAUAUAUUCGACCAUUUAAAGAACUCCCGUAGUGAAGAUAAUUGGUUAACGGAGUCAGACAUCGAUAAUGAAAUUUAUCGAAAUCCGGGUUCCCAAGUAGUUCCAGAAAAAUUUAAUAUCUUAAAAUUUAUCACUGUAUGUACAACUAUAUUUUUAUGUAUAUACGUGUGUAAAUUAUUGUUAUUUCUCGAGUGAAUGGCAACAAAAUUGUUCAUUUGUGCAAGGAUAAAGCAAUGAGUCAUGAUAUUGUGAACCGAGCAUCAUUUUCGGUAGUUUUCUAUAACAUGUCAUCAUCCUAAUCAGAGAGCGAGUUCUCACAAUUUAAUUCUUCUCAUUCAUCACUAAACUCAGUCAUUCUAUGGAAUUCAACGAAUAAACAGAGAAUGAAAGGUGUCCACAUCCAGAUGCAUAAUUAUUAUGUACUUAAUGAAUGAUAGUUUACAACAGUUGAAGAAACUUCAAAAUGGAGUUAUAGAGAAGAAACACGAAACCGAGAAUAAAAGAGUUCAAAUCACGUAUCUGCACAGGAAUAACUAAAGUCUGUUACAUCGGACGACGUUCUAUAAGCCUAUAUAAAUUAUGAGCUGAUUCAAAAUAUUUGUAGCUUCGGUGACAUAAUUUGCUAAGAGUGAAUAGAAACUACGAGUUAAAAUUAGGAUUCAGCGCGGUCUUCUAUAUUUCUUCACAUAAUGUUUCUAAAUGUAUACGCUUGUAGUUAAUAUACAAAUAAACAAACAUAAAUGCUAUUUAUAUAUUA